AGCCUUCUGUUUCUGUGCUGAGAUUUCGUCACACACCAUACCACAAGGGUUGAUGAGACUUCCAAGAUAUUUGAAGCG
rfam:Schistosoma haematobium scaffold339_15, whole genome shotgun sequence.